rnacentral:rRNA from 1 species
UGAGGAACAUGACCUUCGGCGGGGGGAUAGCCGGCCCAACGGCCGGGUAAUACCGCGUACGACCACAUGGGGACAUCCCUGAGUGGUGAAAGCAGCAAUGCGCCGAUGGAGUGCCUCGCGGCCUAUCAGCUAGUUGGUGAGGUAACGGCUCACCAAGGCAACGACGGGUAGCUGGUCUGGGAGGAUGGCCAGCCACAUUGGGACUGAGACACGGCCCAGACUCCUAGGGAGG